CUGCUUCUCCGAGAAAACACCAAAUGGCGGAUGACGCCAGUGCAGAGGGCGGGGGCGGGCGGGCGCGGGCGGGCGGGCGGGUGGUGUGGGCGCCGGAGGCCCCGGGGGCCCUGGGAAGGGGAACUGAUGUGACUUCCGCUGAGGGUUUCAGCAGUGGCAUCCGGGUCCGGGGUCACGGCCGUGGAUGGGGCCGGGGCCGGGGUCGCGGCCGUGGAUGGGGCCGGGGCCAAGACCGCGGAGUUCGCGGAGGCAAGGCCCAGGAUAAGGAGCGGAUGCCCGUCACCAAGCUGGACGGCCUGGCCAAGGACAUGAAGAUCAAGUCCCUAGAGGAGAUUUAUCUCUUCUCGCUGCCCAUCAAGGAAUCUGAGAUCAUUGACUUUUUCCUGGGGGCCUCUCUCAAGGACGAGGUUUUGAAGAUUAUGCCUGUGCGGAAGGAGACCCGCGCCGGCCAGCGCACCAGGUUCAAGGCGUUUGUUGCCAUCAGGGACUACAAUGGCUACGCUGGUCGGGUUGAAGUGCUCCAAGGAGGUGGCCGCCGCCAUCCGCGGGGCCAUCAUCCUGACCAAGCUCUCCAUUGUCACCGUGCGCAGAGGCUACUGGGGGAACAAGAUCGGCAAGCUCCACACCGUCCCUUGCAAGGUGACAGGCCGCUGCGGCUCUGUGCUGGUGCCCUUCAUCCCCGCGCCCAGGGGCACUGGCAUCGUCUCAGCUCCUGUGCCCAAGAAGCUGCUCAUGAUAGCUGGUAUCUACGACUGCUACACCUCAGCCAGGGGCUGCACUGCCACCCUGGGCAACUUCGCCAACGCCACCUUGGAUGCUGUCUCUAACAUCUACAGCUACCUGAUCCCCUGAAGGACUUCUGGAAGGAGACUGUAUUCACCAAGUCUCCCUAUCAGGAAUUCACUGACCACCUCGCCAAGACCCACACCAGAGUCUCCGUGCAGAGGACCCAGGCUCCAGCUGUGACUACAACAUAGGGUUUUUAUGCAAGAAAAAUAAAGUGAAUUAAAGCCUAUUACUGUCAAAAAAAAAAAAAAAAAA